GACGAACGCUGGCGGCGUGCUUAACACAUGCAAGUCGAACGGAAAGGCCCUGCUUUUGUGGGGUGCUCGAGUGGCGAACGGGUGAGUAACACGUGAGUAACCUGCCCUUGACUUUGGGAUAUCUUCAGGAAACUGGGUCUCAUACCGGAUAGGAGCUCCUGCUGCAUGGUGGGGGUUGGAAAGUUUCGGCGGUUGGGGAUGGACUCGCGGCUUAUCAGCUUGUUGGUGGGGUAGUGGCUUACCAAGGCUUUGACGGGUAGCCGGCCUGAGAGGGGGACCGGCCACAUUGGGACUGAGAUACGGCCCAGACUCCUACGGGAGGCAGCAGUGGGGAAUAUUGCACAAUGGGCGGAAGCCUGAUGCAACAACGCCGCGUGCGGGAUGACGGCCUUCGGGUUGUAAACCGAUUUCGCCUGAGACGAGGCGUGAGUGACGGUAAUGUGUAAAGAAGCACCGGCUAACUACGUG
rnacentral:rRNA from 1 species